rnacentral:RNase_P_RNA from 1 species
GGAGUCGGCGAGACAAUCGCUGUAGCGCUUGCGCUGCGGAGGAAAGUCCGGGCUCCAUCGGACAGGGCGCCAGGUAACGCCUGGAGGGCGUGAGCCCAUGGAAAGUGCCACAGAAAACAAACCGCCGGGCUUUGCCCGGUAAGGGUGAAAAGGUGCGGUAAGAGCGCACCGCGCGACUGGUAACAGCUCGCGGCACGGUAAACCCCGCCUGGAGCAAGACCAAAUAGGGGACUUCCGGGUAGGUCGCUAGAGGCAGUCGGUGACGGCUGUCCCAGAUGAAUGGUUGUCGCUCACAGAACCCGGCUUAUUGCCGGCUCCGACU